rnacentral:misc_RNA from 1 species
ACUUUCACAGAUCAUACAGGCCACACCUGGUAAUGAAGUAAAAAUAGUCCAAUGCCACCAAGUUCAGUAGACUUCUAUGGAAGCUGGAAAGCUUAAGCGCAGGGCCUCAAUAUAAAUGAGAAUGUAGUUCCAAUUUCCAAUUCACAAUGAUAUGCCUCAAGUUACUGGUUAGAGAGAGAGAGUACAGCACUAGGGCUCAAAUUGUUGCCCAUGGACAAAAUGGUUGAAAUGCCAACCAGAUUGGAAAUUUUGCAUGACACUUCACUUACCAGUAUAACAUCUAGAGUGUAAGCUGCUAUAUUAAAUAAGUAUCAACCUGGGGGCUUAUUCAUACUUGCAUUUUCACACUCCAUAGAGAUGAUAGAAGCAAGUCUCUCAUAAACCACAGAGAGCUGCUCAUUUGUAUCCUUCUUCUCAUUGUUGUCUUGUUUAUUUGUAAAAGAUGGAUCAUACCAGUCACGGGGAAUCCCAGCUUCAUCUCUAGCUGAAUAAUUAAAGGGCCCUUUCAAUUCCACAUUGUAGUCUCUCAACAAGUCUUUAAAAGUAGAACAAGGGGCACAGCCCAUUUUCUGACAGACAAAGACAAACCAGUAUACACCGACAGCUACAUGCGCAACUUCCUCAUCUUAGCCACAACUUUAGAUGUUUUAGAGUCUCCAAAACCAAUUAACUUUUUCACUAGCCUUGGCCCAGCAUCAAGUCCUCUUGCCUCCUGGACAAGUGGGAUUGCAGCCAAUCGUGCAGCAACAUUGUCAGACGAUUUUUCACAUUCCCUCCACAACAAAUUAUGAGCAGGCAUAUCUCCAUACUUGAAACCAAGCUCAGCAAGUCUCUGAGAGCACCAUGCGAAAUGGCGACUCUCAUCAUCAGCAACAUGUGCAA